UACGUAGGGGGCGAGCGUUGUCCGGAAUCAUUGGGCGUAAAGCGCGUGUAGGCGGCUCAGUCAGUCUGGUGUGAAACCUUGGGGCUCAACCCCAAGCCUGCACUGGAUACUGCUGAGCUUGAGUCCGGGAGGGGAGAGCGGAAUUCCUAGUGUAGCGGUGAAAUGCGCAGAUAUUAGGAAGAACACCGGUGGCGAAGGCGGCUCUCUGGAACGGUACUGACGCUGAGACGCGAAAGCGUGGGGAGCGAACAGG
rnacentral:rRNA from 1 species